UACGAAGGGGGCUAGCGUUGCUCGGAAUCACUGGGCGUAAAGCGCACGUAGGCGGAUUGUUAAGUCAGGGGUGAAAUCCUGGAGCUCAACCCCAGAACUGCCUUUGAUACUGAAGAUCUUGAGUUCGGGAGAGGUGAGUGGAACUGCGAGUGUAGAGGUGAAAUUCGUAGAUAUUCGCAAGAACACCAGUGGCGAAGGCGGCUCACUGGCCCGAUACUGACGCUGAGGCACGAAAGCGUGGGGAGCAAACAGGG
rnacentral:rRNA from 1 species